UACGUAGGGUGCGAGCGUUAAUCGGAAUUACUGGGCGUAAAGCGCACGUAGGCGGCUUUGCAAGUCAGAGGUGAAAGCCCGGGGCUCAACCCCGGAAUUGCCUUUGAGACUGCAUCGCUAGAAUUGUGGAGAGGUAAGUGGAAUUCAGAGUGUAGAGGUGAAAUUCGUAGAUAUUCGGAAGAACACCAGUGGCGAAGGCGACUUACUGGACACAUAUUGACGCUGAGGUGCGAAAGCGUGGGGAGCAAACAGG
rnacentral:rRNA from 1 species